GACUCAAGGAAGGGUCUUUUGGGGACUGGCUACAGUGCAUCAGGUUCAUACGCUGAAAUAAAUACCCUGGAGACUGAAAACCUGAUGCUAUGGAAACAGAAGGGGCCAAGCACUGCCGAAGCAAUAUUCUGAUGCUGGCAGGAGGCUUGAGAUCCAGAGGACAAAGGACAAGGAGAAAAGCUGGCCUUAGUUCCUUCAUGAAACGAACAGAAAGGAGAAUUCAGCGUUGACAAGUGUAAGAACUUACUCACCUGCUCAAGAAGGUGAGGGUAUCGAGCUUGAAUCUCAUCAA